CCUACGGGGGGCAGCAGUGGGGAAUAUUGGGCAAUGGGCGCAAGCCUGACCCAGCAACGCCGCGUGAAGGAAGAAGGCUUUCGGGUUGUAAACUUCUUUUGUCAGGGACGAAGCAAGUGACGGUACCUGACGAAUAAGCCACGGCUAACUACGUGCCAGCAGCCGCGGUAAUACGUAGGUGGCAAGCGUUAUCCGGAUUUAUUGGGUUUAAAGGGUGCGUAGGCGGACAGUCAAGUCAGCGGUAAAAAUGCGGUGCUCAACGCCGUACAGCCGUUGAAACUGGCAGUCUUGAGUGGGCGAGAAGUAUGCGGAAUGCGUGGUGUAGCGGUGAAAUGCAUAGAUAUCACGCAGAACUCCGAUUGCGAAGGCAGCAUACCGGCGCCCGACUGACGCUGAGGCACGAAAGCGUGGGUAUCGAACAGGAUUAGAUACCCCAGUAGUC
rnacentral:rRNA from 1 species